rnacentral:rRNA from 1 species
CGAGCGGCGAACGGGUGAGUAACACGUGGGUGAUCUGCCUUGCACUUCGGGAUAAGCCUGGGAAACUGGGUCUAAUACCGGAUAUGACCACUGAAUGCAUGUUCGGUGGUGGAAAGAUUUAUCGGUGCGAGAUGGGCCCGCGGCCUAUCAGCUUGUUGGUGAGGUAACGGCUCACCAAGGCGACGACGGGUAGCCGACCUGAGAGGGUGACCGGCCACACUGGGACUGAGACACGGCCCAGACUCCUACGGGAGGCAGCAGUGGGGAAUAUUGCACAAUGGGCGAAAGCCUGAUGCAGCGACGCCGCGUGCGGGAUGACGGCCUUCGGGUUGUAAACCGCUUUUGACAGGGACGAAGCGCAAGUGACUGUACCUGUAGAAUAAGGACCGGCCAACUACGUGCCAGCAGCCGCGGUAAUACGUAGGGUCCGAGCGUUGUCCGGAAUUACUGGGCGUAAAGAGCUUGUAGGCGGUCUGUCACGUCGUUUGUGAAAACUUGGGGCUCAACCUUAAGCUUGCAGGCGAUACGGGCAGACUAGAGUACUUCAGGGGAGACUGGAAUUCCUGGUGUAGCGGUGAAAUGCGCAGAUAUCAGGAGGAACACCGGUGGCGAAGGCGGGUCUCUGGGAAGUAACUGACGCUGAGAAGCGAAAGCAUGGGUAGCAAACAGGAUUAGAUACCCUGGUAGUCCAUGCCGUAAACGGUGGGUACUAGGUGUGGGGCUCCUUCCACGGACUCCGUGCCGUAGCUAACGCAUUAAGUACCCCGCCUGGGGAGUACGGCCGCAAGGCUAAAACUCAAAGAAAUUGACGGGGGCCCGCACAAGCGGCGGAGCAUGUGGAUUAAUUCGAUGCAACGCGAAGAACCUUACCUGGGUUUGACAUACACCGGAAACCUGCAGAGAUGUAGGCCCCCUUGUGGUCGGUGUACAGGUGGUGCAUGGCUGUCGUCAGCUCGUGUCGUGAGAUGUUGGGUUAAGUCCCGCAACGAGCGCAACCCUUAUCUUAUGUUGCCAGCGCGUAAUGGCGGGGACUCGUGAGAGACUGCCGGGGUCAACUCGGAGGAAGGUGGGGACGACGUCAAGUCAUCAUGCCCCUUAUGUCCAGGGCUUCACACAUGCUACAAUGGCCGGUACAGAGGGCUGCGAUACCGCGAGGUGGAGCGAAUCCCUUAAAGCCGGUCUCAGUUCGGAUCGGGGUCUGCAACUCGACCCCGUGAAGUUGGAGUCGCUAGUAAUCGCAGAUCAGCAACGCUGCGGUGAAUACGUUCCCGGGCCUUGU